UACGGAGGAUCCGAGCGUUAUCCGGAUUUAUUGGGUUUAAAGGGAGCGUAGGUGGAUUGUUAAGUCAGUUGUGAAAGUUUGCGGCUCAACCGUAAAAUUGCAGUUGAAACUGGCAGUCUUGAGUACAGUAGAGGUGGGCGGAAUUCGUGGUGUAGCGGUGAAAUGCUUAGAUAUCACGAAGAACUCCGAUUGCGAAGGCAGCUCACUGGACUGCGACUGACACUGAGGCUCGAAAGUGUGGGUAUCAAACAGG
rnacentral:rRNA from 1 species